CCUACGGGAGGCAGCAGUAGGGAAUCUUCCGCAAUGGACGAAAGUCUGACGGAGCAACGCCGCGUGAACGAUGAAGGCCUUCGGGUCGUAAAGUUCUGUUGUUAGGGAAGAACAAGUGCUAGUUGAAUAAGCUGGCACCUUGACGGUACCUAACCAGAAAGCCACGGCUAACUACGUGCCAGCAGCCGCGGUAAUACGUAGGUGGCAAGCGUUGUCCGGAAUUAUUGGGCGUAAAGCGCGCGCAGGCGGUUUCUUAAGUCUGAUGUGAAAGCCCCCGGCUCAACCGGGGAGGGUCAUUGGAAACUGGGAAACUUGAGUGCAGAAGAGGAAAGUGGAAUUCCAAGUGUAGCGGUGAAAUGCGUAGAGAUUUGGAGGAACACCAGUGGCGAAGGCGACUUUCUGGUCUGUAACUGACGCUGAGGCGCGAAAGCGUGGGGAGCAAACAGGAUUAGAUACCCUGGUAGUCCACGCUGUAAACGAUGAGUGCUAAGUGUUAGAGGGUUUCCGCCCUUUAGUGCUGAAGUUAACGCAUUAAGCACUCCGCCUGGGGAGUACGGUCGCAAGACUGAAACUCAAAGGAUUGACGG
rnacentral:rRNA from 1 species